CCCAGAGCAGUUUCACUUCCUCCGGGCGCCCAGCAAAGCCAAGCCCUGAAAUUGUGGCCAGAGCCUCGGGGCUGCGUUUCCGGAGACCUAGGCCUUGGGCGCCCCGGGUGGGGAGCAAGCAGGGGAGCGGCGGGACCUAGAGAAGAGCUAGCUGAGAAUCUCUCCGGACUGGAGUGUCCGGGACUCUGCGGGCACCGGUCCACAGGCCCCUUGGCUUCAGCCUCCGCAAUGCUUCGUGGAGCUCCCGGAAAGGCAGACGGGAGCCAGGACAGGCUGCCGUGCGGCCUGGCGCCCCCAGAAAACACAAGAGACAUUCUGGUGAUCUAUGAAGAAGAUGCUAAGGAAUGGGCUCUGUACUUGAAGGAAGUUUUUUUGCAUGUUGUGGAAAGGGAAGCAAUCCUGUUGUAUCGCUUGGAGAAUUCCUCUCUUCGACAUUUGGAAUUGCUGAGUUUAAACACUUACAAAUGUAAACUUUUAAUAUUAUCAAAUAGUCUGCUUAAAGACCUAACUGCAAAGAAGUGUCAGUUUCUGGAAAACAUACUUUAUUCAACAGAAAGUGUGGUUACUCUACUUUGUGGGGUGAAGAGUUCAGAUCAGCUCUAUAAAUUAUUAAAUAUCUCUGGAGGCAAAUUGGAGAUCUCAACUGAGCAGGAGCCAGAAGACUACAUCUCUGUAAUCAAGAGUGUCAUAUUCAGAGGCUCUGAGGACUACUUUGAGGUCAACAUGCCGACAGACCUAGGAAGAGAAUGUUCUGUGGAAAUAAGUGAGAGAAGGGAAAUUGAAGAAUUAUCAGAGACUUCAAGAAGCAGCAAACCACUCGCAAUGGUUCUUCCCUCCGAAAUUCCAUGUGAGAAUCCUGGUGAAAUAUUCAUUAUUUUGAGAGAUGAAGUCAUUGGCAAUACUGUGGAGAUUGAAUUUACAUCAAAUAAUAAGUGCAUUAGAACACGGCCAGCACUUUGGAAUAAGACAGUCUGGUGUAUGAAAGCUUUUGAUUUUCCUGCUGGCUCUGUCUAUGUAAAUAUCUACUGUGAUGGAAUCCUUAAGGCCACAACAGAGAUUAAAUACUAUACAACAGCAAAGGAAAUGGAAUGCCUUUCCAGAGUGACAGAUCCAGGAGAUGGCAUGCAUCAGAAUGACAUUAAAGAACUUGAUGAUGUUCUCACAUCCAUAUUCAAACAUGAAAUACCAUAUUAUGAGUUCAAAUUUCUACUAACCGAAAUCUGUCCUCAGAAAGAAUAUAUUCAUUCCGAAGAACUUCCAACUCUUCUCCAUUGUGCAGCAAAAUUUGGCUUAAAGAACUUGGCUAUUCAUUUGCUUCGAUGUUCAGGAGCAACUUGGGCAUCUCAGAUGAAAAAUAUGAAGGGGUCUGACCCAGCACAUAUUGCUGAAAGGCAUGGUCAUAAAGAACUCAAGGAAAUCUUCGAAGACUUUACAAUCCAAGAAAUUAGCAGAAAUAAUGAGCAAGAAAAUGACUAUGAAGAUGAUAUUAUCUCAUUUUCUACAUAUCCUCCUGCUGCACAGAACACAGCAUUUCAUCAUGAAAGUGGACAGGCAUACAGACCAAGUGCAGAAGGAGCUGAGGCAAAUGAAACAGAAGAGGAAGAAAAAGAGAAUGAACCAGGCAUGGAGGCUGAGCAAAGCCCACCAGAGGUUGGCAGUGGGAAUUCUGAGGACCAGUAUGAUGACUUGUAUGUGUUCAUUCCUGAAAGCAAUCCAGAAGAUAACUCAAGAGAGCCACUCCUGUGCACCAGACCCCCACUUCCCCCUCCACGACAGGUAGCUGCUGUCCCCCAACUGGAAAAACCACACUUCACAUUACAAGGAAAAAUGCUGGAAGGCCAAAUGGAAAGAAGUCAAAACUGGUGCGAUCCUGGUGUAAGACAAGAAACAGGAGGCGAGCCCAAAGGAAAGGAAGAAAAGAAAGAUGAGAAGGAGCAGGAGGAGGAGGACCCAUACAGUUUUCCUGAGAAUGAUGACAGUGAAUAUGACACAAUAUUGGCCAAUAGGAGUACAAGGAAAAAAACUGGAAGUCGGUCUUUUAUUAUAAACAGACCUCCUGCUCCCACACCCCGGCCCACAAAUAUCCCUCCUAAAGAGGAAACCACAUCCUACAUAGCUCAAGUUUUCCAACAAAAGGCAGCCAGAAGACAAUCUGAUGGUGACAAGUUCCAUUGUCUUCCUAAGAAACAAGACAGAGCUCGGAGGGAGAGUCAAGCCUUUUCCAUUCCAAAGGACUGCCUGGCUGCUGGGCAGGAAGAACUCAUUCUCCUCCAGGAGAAAGUGAAAAAUGGGAAACUGUCUGUGGAUGAAGCACUGGAGAAGUUUAAACACUGGAAGAUCGGAAAGAGUGGCCUGGAAAUGAUUCAGCAGGAAAAACUACGCCAACUACGAGAUGGCAUUAUUGGAAAAAGGCCAGAAGAAGAAAUUGCCUAUGAUAAACUCACCAUUGUGCACCAUCCAUGUGGUAAUGAAACUGUUCACAAUGAGAAUAUUUUUAAUAGCGUACCCUUUGGCAAUAAGGUAAGUUACAUUUAUCUUAAUUUUUAUAAAAUGCAAAGAAGGAAACUCUCUGUGGAGAAAGAACAUGGUGAGGCUUUUAUCUUCCCUGUGCUAUGAACAUCCUAACAAAUAUGGACUAAAUAAGUUACCUAAACGUUUGUGUGCAAACUCCAUGAGCAAUAAUUUAAGGAAAUCAAUUAUUCAGAAGAAAGCAAAGAAGGAAGUCAAGAGAAAAAGUCACCAAGACUGAACUGUGGCUAAAUUCAGUGCGUACAGACCAAGAAAAUCUUAGAGGAAUUAUGAAUGUAUCUGCUUUAGCAGUAGAAAUAUGGUAAGUCUAUUUGAAUCACAAUGUAUACAGUCCAUAAAGUCUACUUAUAGGGAAAGUAUAACCCUGAAAUACUGUUGAUGCAAAUAUGCAUCACUUCACUUGGAAGAGUUAACUGAAAAUAAAUUUCUAACAAAAAGCUAAAAAUAACCUUAAACAAAGACAGCAGCAAUCAAACACCAAAACCAAUUCAAGAAAAUACUGAUAAUGGCCUGACCACAAAUUUUCAUUCAAAAAAAUUGUGGUGUUCCAGUUAUCUUGAAUGUACAUACAUGAUGCAAGAAAUUUGCACUGUUACCAAAGGUUGUGUGGCAGCCAGAUUUCUUACUAAAAUCCUGAAUUAGAGAAAUUGGUAAGUUCUAAUGAGGUAAUUUUAAUUUACCAAAAUAUAGUAACCCUUUAAGCUCACUUAUGUUUUCAAUACAUCAUAAGUCAUUAUGAAAGUCAUUCACCCUUAAGAAACGAUUGAAGUAUUUGCAUUUCUGGAGCAUUCAGUGGCCCAACAAUGAGCUAUAAACAGACUCAUUAGAUUCACUGAACUGUAGCAGAAUUUGGGGUACUACCCGGGCCCAGGAGCUUGUGCAAAUACCUUUGCCAAACAAAGAUCCUUCUACAAGAUAUGAAAGACGACACAACCAUGGCAUAGUUUUUGAGAGCUAGAGUUUGGGUAACAGGAAAAGAAUGGAUUUCCAAAACUUACACUGCUCUCCCUCAAAAUGGAAAUAAAAUUUGAAUUCAAGGACUUUGAUGUAAUUCAACUUUACAAUGAUUCUGUUUCUGUUUAACAUGCAGGAUUCCCUUGUCAGUUACCUCCACAAAGCUAUUUUUUCCAUCGUUAUGAAAGGCAACUAUAUCUUUGUCAUGUGUCUUUGUUCAGCAUUGAAAUGGAAAAAUGCUAACUCAGUAUCUUUCUUUUUUAGCUUCCUGCUAGAUUCCAAGCUGAAAAGGAAUUUGGUUUCUGUUACAGGAAAGAUCAUUAAAGAAGGUUAUUAUAAUGAAACUCAAGAAUGUGAGGAUACUGUACUUUCUGGAUGAAGCAAGCUUGCAUUUGGAUUGCCUGCUCUUUCCAGGGAAAUUCUCUACUAUGAAAGCAGAAGUAGGCCUCAGGAUUUCUGGAUUUUGGAAUUUGUUACUCACACAAUAUAAUUGACAUUAUACCUGCUCCAGAUGGGUAUAUCAAAAGUAAAGCUGAAUGCCAUGGAGCAAUUGCAUUUUUUGAAAAUUCUUCCUUUUUAGAAUGCACCUUGCCACUGAAGCAGCUAUUUUCCAUUUUGGAAUUUAAGGGAAGAUGAGCAGAGAAGUUAAAUACUGCAUUGCAAAGUUAAUAGUUUACUUAUACUAUCCUAAGAAUAGUUAUGAAAAUGCAAAUUCAUAAAGUACAUAUUUGCCUUUUAAGUGGCUGGUCCAUUUUCUAGAUUUCUCACAUCCAACACUCUAAUGAUUAUUGUCACAUCAUGUUUGCGGAGAACAUCCCUAAUUUACUGUCUAUUUACAUAUAACCCAGAGAACAUUAUAAAACUUUCAAUUUCGUACUAUGUAUUCAAAUUAAUACAUAUUUUCACAACCUAUAUUCUUCAUUAAAAGACUCAUGAUUUAAUCACUGAUUUCGUAGAAACAAUUUACUAGCUUAGAAUAGAAUUCUAUUUUAUCAUUCUAUGUUCUCCAUGUACAAUUGCUACAAAUAAAUUGAAUGGUUAAGGCAA